rnacentral:rRNA from 1 species
UACGUAGGGGGCGAGCGUUGUCCGGAGUUACUGGGCGUAAAGCGCUUGUAGGCGGUCCACCAAGUUUGGGGUGACAGUUGCCGACUUAAUCGGCAAAGUGCCUCAAAGACUGGCGGACUUGAGGGCCACAGAGGGACAUGGAACUCCAGGUGUAGUGGUGAAAUGCGUAGAGACCCGGAGGAACACCAGUGGCGAAGGCGGCGUCCUGGCCUGCGACUGACGCUGUGGCGCGAAAGCUAGGGGAGCGAACGGG